UACUUUUGCCGUGGUCUGAGGCGCUCAUUCCGCGCUGGGAGUCGCCGAGGCCGCCACUGUUUUUGUGGCCGCCGCCUAGUGUCUUCGCGCUCCUCCCUUUCCUCCUCCUCUUUCUCCUCCUCCUUCGAGUCUCAGUCAGGGCGACCUGCACAGCUCGCGCGCAGAAAACUAAGACCUAACUUGCUGUCUUCUCUUGAGUCAUAUGGUGACUCUGCAACUUGAUGGAUGACGACAACGACAACCCUUCUCAAUCAAAAAUUUCUUCAGGUGAGAAAUGUCUCAUCUUUCCUGAGAUGGAACAAACCUCACAUAAUUCAAAAAUGGCAGAACUCUUUAUGGAAUGUGAAGAAGAAGAGCUGGAACCAUGGCAGAAGAAAGUUGAAGAAAUUCUGGAUGAAGAUGAUGAUGAGCUGAUCUUUGUUGGAGAGAUAUCAAGUUCAAAACCAGCCAUUUCAAAUAUUUUGAACAGAGGUAACCCCAGCUCAUCUUCAAAGGGAAUAAAGAAUGAGACACUCACUCAAGGUGCUACUGAUCCAUUCAAGCCUGCAAGUCAACACUACAAAGAUCCAACAUCAAAUCCAGUGGCUGCCUUGCCUAGAUGUCAUCCUGAAUCUAAAUCUUCACAAAACUCUAUUGUUCAGAAUGUGUCUAAACCUGAUUUUACAAAGAAUUCGUCGCAAGUUGAAUCGGAUGAUUCUUCAGAUUUACUGUUUGACUUGACCCAGGAUACAAUUCCAUUGUCUCAAGAGGGAUCAACAGUUUAUAUAGAAGGUAUAGAUCAGACUCUACCUAUAUUAAAACGUUCUUCUGCUUCUAAAGUAAACAGUGUUACUCCAAAAAAGCCAAAGACCAACGAAAGUGUUUCUGAAAUAAGUCCUUGUGCUUCAUUGUCUUUAACUAACUCUCCUCCAGCGACAUCUUCCCAUGUUAUGAUAUCAAAAGGUACAAAUACCUCAUCAUCUCCCCAUAAAACUGGAACACCUUUUCUAAGAUCUUGUCCAAAGUGCAAUGUGAAAUUUAAUCUUCUGGAUCCUUUGAAAUAUCACAUGAAGCGUUGUUGUCCAGACAUGGUAAAUAAAUUUUUGGAAAUGAUUAAAGCAGAACUUGCAAUUACUGAAAAUAAAAAUAAGACUGGUGCAGAGAAAGGAAAAUUAAUUAUGUUAGUUAGUGACUUUUACUAUGGAAGACAUGAAGGAGCUGUUGAUGAUGAACAGAAGACUUACACAACCUUUAAAUGCUUCAGUUGCUUGAAAGUUCUUAAAAACAACAUUAGGUUCAUGAACCACAUGAAGCACCAUUUGGAACUUGAGAAGCAGAACAGUGAGAGCUGGGAAAAUCAUACCACCUGCCAGCACUGCUACCGUCAAUAUCCUACACCAUUCCAGUUGCAGUGUCACAUUGAGAGUACUCACACUCCCCAUGAGUUUUCUACUAUUUGUAAAAUCUGUGAAUUAUCAUUUGAAACGGAACAUGCUCUUUUGCAACAUAUGAAGGAUACUCAUAAACCCGGUGAAAUGCCAUAUAUUUGCCAGGUGUGCCAGUUUAGAUCAUCAACAUUUUCUGAUGUAGAAAGUCAUUUUAGAUCAACCCAUGAAAACACUAAGAAUUUGCUAUGUCCAUUUUGCCUCAAAGUUAGUAGAAUGGCAACUCCCUACAUGAAUCAUUACAUGAAGCAUCAGAAAAAAGGAGUUCAUCGUUGUACCAAAUGCCGACUACAAUUUUUGACCUGCAAAGAGAAACUGGAUCAUAAGACCCAACAUCGGACAUUUAUAAAGCCUAAAGAGCUAGAAGGACUGCCUCCUGGUACAAAAGUUACUAUUCGAGCUUCAAUUGGACCUCUUCAUUCAAAACCAGUUACUUCAUCUCCCAGUAGUAGCGUUCCAAGCACCUCUUCUUUUCAGCUCUCACCUCCAAAGUCUAAAAGUACAACUGCUAAAAAUGCGACCAAAUCAAAUACAAGUAAAUCUAAGACAAGUAAGCCUCAUGCAACUACAUCCACUACAAGUAAACCUAAUGCCAAUAAGCGAGGUAGAGGUGCAUCUAAAUGCAAGACAAAAACCACUUACAAGCAAAAGAAACAACGCAACAGAAAGAAUAAAAUCAGCAUAGCUUUGAAGAACUUAAGGUGUCGUCGGGGAGUUCACAAGUGCAUUGAGUGUCAUUCCAAAAUAAAAGAUUUUGCAAGCCACUUUUCAAUAUAUAUCCACUGUAAUUUUUGCAAAUAUAACACUAACUGUAACAAAGCCUUUAUAAAUCAUAUGGUGAGCUCUCAUAGCAACCAUCCAACUAGACGGUUUUAUAUUUUUAAGAAGCAUUCUGGAACUCUCAGGGGCAUUACUCUGGUGUGCCUUAAAUGUGACUUCCUAGCUGAUUCUUCCAGUUUAGACCGUAUGGCUAAACACUUAUGUCAACGUAAAACUCAUACUUGCCAAGUUAUAAUAGAGCAUGUUCCUGAAAGUACCUCAACUUCUGAAUCCACUUCUGAGUGCUGGAAAAGCAGACUGAAAUCUCUUCCCUGGUGGAGCUUACAUUUCAGUGGUGGAAGACAAGACGAUAAAAAAAUAAGAAAAUUAAGUAGUAUGUUAGAUGAUGAUCAAUGCUAUGGAGAAAAAUAAAGUGGGCAAGGAGGAUGUUUCAGGUGUCUAAGUGCCCAGACUUGGACCAGGAUUAGCUCCUUCUGUACGGGCUUCCAACCCAGGAAAUGGUGAAGACUCAAGGGCAUAGUCCGAAAAGUGAAGAGGAGCUGUAGAGGAGACAUACUGGCCAUCUCGGAUCACUCCAGACACAUAGUGAGGCUGAAUGAGAGGCCUGGAGGCACCUCACUUCACUUUAUAUUCCCUGCUCCUCACCACCCUCACAGCAACAAGAGUAUCAUGGUUCUCUGGCCUCCUGAGUCCCCUUCCUCUGGUUGCAUUCUGGGAACAGCCCAUUCCCAAAUCCUUUUGCUCAAUCUGAUGGAGGGCUGAGUGCCACUGUGCCACCCUGCUGAUGCCAGCAGAAAGUUCUAGGGCUGGGAGAGUGGGACCCAGAAAUUCUCAGGAUUCCAAGACUUCUUGACUAUUCCCAGGCACCUGAGGGAAAGCAGUGUUAUUACUGCAGGAAAGGACAGGAUCACAAAGGUGAGGCUCAGAGGACUGGUGAGUGCCUGCUAGUCACAGCAAAAUUACCAGAGUCUUGGCAGGACCAAAAGAUGACAGACUUGGGGAAGUUGAGAGUCUGGUUUUUAAGAUGGGGACCAGCUAGCAUGGAAAUGACAGCCAUGAGGUCCACACUCAGGAAUCAUCCAGGAAGACUGUUUGUUCCUCUCAGAGGAGCUAUGAAAAGUAGAAGAGUUUUCCCUCUUGCUGGUCAGCAAGCUUGCUGAAUCUUUCCAAAGGUUACUGAGUCUAGAUGAUGCUAAAACCUUCUUCUGGCUUCCCACUGUGCUUAAAUAAAAUCCCAACCCAAAAGGCCUGGCCUUACCUACUUCUCAGCCUCACCCCGUUAUUUUCCUCCUUGCUCUCACUAGCCUCCUCUCUGUUCUUCAGAUGCACUGACCUCACUUACAUCUCAGGGCCUUGGCAUUUGCUGUUUCCUCUGUUUGUGGUCCUUUCUGACCUCAUCCCUGGUUGCUCUUCUUCAUUCAGGUCUCCACUCAAACGUUAUCUCCUCAGGGGAACCUUCUGUGUUCACUUUAUCUAAUAUGUUGCCCUCCCCCACCUCCCUCACUUUCUAUCCAUUUACCCUGUUUUAUGGCCCUCAGAGUCCUUAUUACUCUCAAAUUCUCUCAUUAUGCAUCUCGUUUCUUGUUUAAUGUCUAUCUCCUUUAUGAGAGCAGUAUUUUAUAUUGUUCACCUGCAUAUCCCCAGGACUUAGCACAGUGGCUCCUAGUAGAUGCUCAGUAAAUGUUUGUUGAAUGCCUAAAAGGUAUCAGAGGCAAUUUGGGUCUAGAAGAGGCAAUCCUGAUUAGAAGACCUGGAAUGUUGUUCUCUUGACCUUGUUACAGCAGAGAAGUUUCCUGACCAAGACCAGAACUUGGACUGAAAUGUACCCAUUAGAAUGGACCAGUGUACCUGCGGCCACUGUGAGAUGGCCUAGCCCUGCAGCCAGGUCAAGAGCCAAAAGACACCACAACAGCAGGUCCUGUCCUGGGUAAGGAGUCAGCAUGAAGUCUGAGACAAGGCCCAAGGUUUUUCUGUUGGGAAGAAGCAUAGCAGCAGGGGUUUCAGCAGGCAGCUCACCAUCAGACAACAGGUGCCCAGGCCCUCAGGUGAGAUUCAGGGGCGGAGCAUUGGUGGGGACAACCAGUAAGAAAACAUAGCCCUAACUGAGAUAGUAGUCAGGCUCCAAAGACAGAUCCAGGCAGAAGCCAAGUAAUGAAAACCAGACUGGGGGCUGGGACUUGGCCUGAAGUCAAGUGAAGGGUAGGAUGGGGAGGUGAUGGGGAGUUAGCCAGUUCUGGAUGAAGAGGGUUGUAGGGACAACUAGGCAGGACCAGUCAGGCUACUUGUUUGGGUGGGAAGUGCAUCUGCUAUGUAUUAUCUCUCGCUGGGGUGGCGGGGAGGACAGGGGACAUUCACUUACCAGAGGAAGGUGCUCAGGGCUGUCUGCCUGGGACCCUCUUUCCCUGGGCUCCUGACAGGAGAACUGCCUUAAGGAGCACCCCGAAACAAAUCUAUCUGGGGCUAUUGUAGCUACGUCUUUAUAGCCGCUCUUAGUGACUUUAACAAUCAGACAGGGGGCUUUCACAUCCAUAGGAACAGACAUUUAAAAAAUACCUGCAGGACUCCUGCUGGAGAGCCACCAGAAACUCCCACUGACUCAAAGAGCAACAAACCAUCCAGCCUCUUGUGUCAGCAUCCCCAACCUCAGCUCCCCACUAGGGCUGCUCAGCUCUAGUCCUUUCACUCAACUCCCAAGGUCAUUCCAGCCUCCCUACUUGGCCCAUUCCCCUCACUUUACCAAUCCAAAUGUAACAUUUUAUUCAACACACAAAAUAAAGUCAGUUAUUUUUCA